rnacentral:rRNA from 1 species
GAUGAACGCUGGCGGCGUGCCUAAUACAUGCAAGUCGAGCGAACGGACGAGAAGCUUGCUUUUCUGAUGUUAGCGGCGGACGGGUGAGUAACACGUGGAUAACCUACCUAUAAGACUGGGAUAACUUCGGGAAACCGGAGCUAAUACCGGAUAAUAUUUUGAACCGCAUGGUUCAAAAGUGAAUGACGGUCUUGCUGUCACUUAUAGAUGGAUCCGCGCUGCAUUAGCUAGUUGGUAAGGUAACGGCUUACCAAGGCAACGAUGCAUAGCCGACCUGAGAGGGUGAUCGGCCACACUGGAACUGAGACACGGUCCAGACUCCUACGGGAGGCAGCAGUAGGGAAUCUUCCGCAAUGGGCGAAAGCCUGACGGAGCAACGCCGCGUGAGUGAUGAAGGUCUUCGGAUCGUAAAACUCUGUUAUUAGGGAAGAACAUAUGUGUAAGUAACUGUGCACAUCUUGACGGUACCUAAUCAGAAAGCCACGGCUAACUACGUG